CAACAUCCGACCCCGACAUCUGUCGGACAUCCGAUGGACUGCCUUGUGUUAUGUGGGGCUUCUUUCGACUCUAAUAUUUCAGAUGACGUAUAUUCAUUAAUGAACGAAGCAGGCAUUCAACUGUGUGACGAAAAUCAAGAUGAUGAUGAUGAAAUAAUUGCCCAGCCGGCAAAAAGCAAUAAAAGUGUUAUUUGGGAUCAUUUUACGCAAUGCCCAGACUUCCAAUACAAAGCCAUUUGCAACUAUUGUAAAAAGCCUCAAGACCGAUCAGGUGGCUCAACAUCGAAUAUGAUUAAGCACUUGGAAAAUAUUCACAAAAUUGCUUCAGGCUGCCGAAAACGACCUCAUCCACCGUCACAGAAAGCUAAAGAGCUUCGCCCAACGACUGAGGUUUCGCAGAAAAUCGAUCGAUUAUUAACUGAAUGGAUUUGUGCUGAUUUUCAAGCUUUUGAAGUUGUUGAAAAUGAAUUUUUCAAGAGAUUUGUCAGUGUUCUAAACGACAAAUAUAAGUUGCCGUCAAGAAAAACACUGAGUGAAGUGCCAGAACUAGAAGCAACAAUUGGAGUUGAAGCAAAAGAAGUUCUCAGUAAGGCAACUGAUGUUGUUAUUUCCAGUGAUGGCUGGUCUUCAAAGGGAACUGAAAAUUUUUUAGCCCUUACUGGGCACUUCAUUUUGCAAGAUAAAUUUAAAUCAAUCUCGCUUGGUGCUGCCAAGCUAGUUGAUCAAACGGCCGUCGGACAUGCAAAUUCGAUAACGAAGUUGUUAUCUAAACACCAAGGUUUAUCAAGAAAAGUGCACACGAUGGUAUCCGAUAAUGCUGAGGUAAUGAAAUGCACAGCUCGAAUUUUGAAGCUAUUCUGGUUUGGUUGCUACCCACACACGCUUAAUUUGGUCGUGAAAGAUGCACUUAAAUUGCCACAGUGUUCCGCUUUGUUGACUGAUGUCCGCAACAUAUCGUCCCACUUUAAAAGGAGCUGUAAACCUUCUGAUCGGUUGCGAGACAUACAAAAAAACAUGAAAAUGCCCCAACAUCGAAUGAAGCGGGACUGUGAAACACGUUGGUCGUCCACUUAUGAUAUGCUUGAACGGUUUACGGAACAAUUUGCAGUGGUUCAAAUGGUGUGUAGUGAAGAUGACGAGUUCUGUUGCCCUACUCGAAGUUAAUUACAAGAAUUACGUAAGCUAAGGGACAUUCUGAAAUCAUUUAAAGAGGUCACAACUAUAAUGUCAUCAGAGAAAAACGUCACUGCUUCGUCGAUCAUCUACCUGUCCGUUCAGCUUCUAAAGGUGGCAAAUCAAAGCGAGAUAGCUGAAUCACACCCCGAGGCAUUUGCCUUUGCUGAAGCAUUGAAGAGAUCGAUGAUUCAUCGGGGUUUUGCGUCUCGUGCAACGAAC